CGGUAAUUCCAGCUCCAAUAGCGUAUACUAACGUUGUUGCAGUUAAAAAGCUCGUAGUUGGAUUUCUGACGGCCUUAGCUCAGCUCGACUCCCUGAGUCGUUGUCUGUCUGAGGUAGUCAACAUUUGGCGUGGUCUAGUGUCGGGCCUUUAUUGGCACGCAUUGGCGAUCGUCUCGUUUACUUUGAGAAAAUUAGAGUGUUCAAAGCAGGCUUCGCCUUGAAUAUGUUAGCAUGGAAUAAUGACAUAGGACUUUGGUUCUAUUUGUUGGUUGUUCGAGAACUAGAGUAAUGAUUGAUAGGGACGGUUGGGGGCAUACGUAUUCCGGGGCGAGAGGUGAAAUUCUUGGACCCCCGGAAGACGAACCGCUGCGAAAGCGUUUGCCUAGGACGUUCUCUUUAAUCAAGAACGAAAGUUGGGGGAUCGAAGACGAUCAGAUACCGUCGUAGUCUCAACUAUAAAUUAUGCCAGCUAGGGAUCGGCGGAUGUUUUUUGAACGACUCCGUCGGCACCUUACGAGAAAUCAAAGCAUUUGGGUUCCGGGGGGAGUAUGGUCGCAAGGCUGAAACUUAAAGGAAUUGACGGAAGGGCACCACCAGGAGUGGAGCCUGUGGCUUAAUUUGACUCAACACGGGAAAACUUACCAGGUCCGGACAUAGUAAGGAUUGACAGAUUGACAGCUCUUUCUUGAUUCUAUGGGUGGCGGUGCAUGUCCGAUUUUAGUGGGUGGAGUGAUUUGUUUGGUUAAUUACGUUAACGAACGAGACCCGCGCAUAUUAAAUAGGCACAGGUCUUCUCGGGUUAUGUGUCUUAUUAGAGGGACCAUCCUGAGUUUAACGGAAGGAAGUUCAGGACAAUAUCAGGUAUGUGAUGACAUUAUAUGUUCUGGACCGCACACGGGCUACACUGGGGGGUACAACGAAUGUCAUUACCUGAGACGAGAGGGCUGGGCAAUCUUCUCAACACCCUCCGUGAAUGGGAUAGACCAUUGCAAUUUUUGGUAUUCAACGAGGAAUUGUAUAGUAGACUCGUGUCAUCAACACGCAUCGAUUACGUCCC
rnacentral:rRNA from 1 species